CCCCCUUUCCCGAGGCAGUUCCCUGCUCUCCCCUGCUAGAGGGGCACCCUAAUCCGUUCACCCCAUCCGACUUCAGAUUGUAUUCGUUGGGUUCGGCAACUCACCACCAGCAUCCAACCAAAUCUAGCGGAUCAACGGCGCCUCAACUUAGUUCCUGGUCAGCUCGCAAGUUGAUAUUAUCACGUCCUACAUCGUCCAUAUGAUGGGGGGCCACCUCCCAUUUCAUCACUCCUCAAACACCCGAGAAGCCGGCAGGCGAAUUUGAACCCGGGUCGGCCGGGAGCAGAAGUCAGGCCUUAACCUCUGCCAGCCGCCUGCCUAUGUAUGUAUGUAUGUAUGUAUGUAUGUAUGUAUGUAUGUCCGUUCGUGCGCUAGCUCACCAGGUUGUCGAUAUAUGCACAUCUACAAGUAUGUGUUUAUGUAUAUUUAUUGGGAGGAGCCCACUGUAACAGCGUCACACACCACAUACAUGGUUGGUUUUUGCGACGAGCGACGAUGUGUUUCACGGUGUCGUACUCGAUUUCCUUCUUAAGCGGCCUCCAGGAAGGGGAAGGAAGGUUGUACUCCCCUAAUGUUACCCGCCGCCCCCUCUAAAUCCGUACACACCGUACACACUCUUUUACACAUACGCACCCGCGCCCAAACCGUUCCGCUUACAUACAUACAAACAUACACCCGGACAGCUGCUUGGGAGUCCUCAGACCGCGAUGGCCAUCCUGCUGUACCUGCUGUACCACUGUCCGCACUGCCUGGCGGCGGCGGCGGGGACAGGGGCCGUGACCCGUGGUUCAUCACAGUCACAAGCACGGCCACUGGCACUUGGAUGGAAAGACGUGUUCAAGGUAAGGGUAUGUGUUUGUGUGUGUGUGUGUGUGUGUCUGUAUGUAUGUCUGUAUGUGUGUGCGUGCGUGGGUGAGUUUCCGGUCUGCGUGGUGGGGUGGGGUGGGAUGGGGUGGGUGGGUGGGGUGGGGUAAGUUGUCUUCUAGGGUUUUUCUUUUUGUGUUACUGUUACCCCACCACACCACCCCCUCCCUCACCACACCAACCCGCCCCCACCACAUAACCCACCCCGCCCCCACCCCACCACCACACCCACACCUCUUUGGUCUUCACCGCCGCCGCCAGGCCCUUCGUGCCGUCAAGUGCCGUUACCCCGACGGCAACUCCCGAGUGGGGGUUUGGGACCCCGAGGAACUUGUACGGCAGUCCAGUGACGUGUCCGCCUCCACAUCCCCCUCCCCAUCCAGCCGGGGGUCGUCAAGUCCCGCAGCCUCGCAAACCUCCGCCGACCACCGCCGCCGCAGUGGCGGCGGCGGCGGUAGCCGUCACCGAUCCGCAUCCUGGCACGACGGCAGCGGCGCGCGGCGGCGUUCCCGCGGCUACCAUCGCAACCACCACCACCACCACCAUCAAAACUCGCGUCAUCGGGAUACGUACGACAAGGAUCCGUACGGGGCACGGUAUCGGGCUGGAGUUAGUAGGGGGCCGUACGGCCCCGACAUGGCGGAGGUGUACGAUCCAAGUAUCUAUGGACCUGGGUACAACCCCGUUUACGGCACGCGCGGAUCGAAGUACGGCGCGCCGUACGAUGUGCCGCCGGAGGUGGCGGCGGCGGCGCAGGCCGCGGCGAUGGCGAUGGAUCCGGCGGCAGUGGCGGAGCUGCAGCGGGUGUCUAGCUUGAAAAAGUCGUACAGUUACACGUCAGCGGCAGCAGGUUUGGUUUCGGAGGACGCCGGCGCGGCGGCGGCUGUACGGCAGCGCAUCGCGACAGACCUGCGUAUGUCGCGAGUGCGCUCCGCGCGGCAACUGAAUCUCUCCGAACUAGCGCGACGCAAGGUGCACCCUACUCGCCGUACUGUCACACUGGAGUCGUACACGGCGCCCGAUGGCCAAAAGUAUGGUUUGGAUUCUGCGACUGGUGAGUCCAUCAGACCAGAAAAGCGACAGUGUGGCUGCGGCUGCGGUAUAUAAUCCCCUCCGGAAAUCCCCUCCCCCUCCCCGCGCUUUUCCCCCGCCUUGCCCCUCUCUUCCUCUUCGUAGGACUUGUGUAUUUCCUGUCUGCCUCCCCCGAGUACCCCGAGCUGGCGGGCAAGCUGCGACCCAGCGGGGAGUUCACUCCAGGAGGGGGCUCCACGGCACCGCUGCAGGUAUACAGUUGUGUUGAUGUGUGUAUGUAUGUAUGAUGUAUUUAACCGGGCCAAACACUGCCCAGAGGCUGCUGCGCAAACCCAACGGAAAGGGCUCGUGUGUAUGUAUGAUGAUGUGCGGGGCAGGAGGGUCAUAUCUUUACCCUGCGGCCGCUACCUUCCCUGACAGGUCUCGAUCUCGGAACUUCCAGGGGCAUCGGUGUGUGCGCUACCAAUAAUACAUGACCUGCAUAACUAGAUAGUGCCAAACCUAUAUCGAAUGAUACAUGAAGUUGCGAAUUGCUAGGAUCGAACUAGCGACCUCUAGAUCUUCAGUCUAGCGCUCUCCCAACUGAGCUAAAUCCGCUUAUAUGUAUAAGAUUACAAGGUUUAUCCUGAUAUAGAACAAAAUCAGAGGAAGGGAGCACUCAGCACGGCUAGAUUUGCGUACUCCCCACCACCCCGACUCAGGCUCUAGCCAACACACGACGCAGCCACUCCUCAGCACCUCUGUCCGGGGGGAUGGCGCUGCAGUGAAGACACACCACGAAGGGCUCUCAGGUCCCGCUAAAGCGAGUCCACAAGUCUCAGCUAGGGCAAAGGCAAAAGCUCUCUGAUCCCUUCCCCCCCAAAACACAACCAGUGACAAAGGAACCCAAGGGAAGAAAAAAUGUGUGCUCGGAAUUCAGAGCACAGCGCUCGGAAUCUACCACUCAGCCUUCCCCCUCGCCCCUGCCCCCCUUCUUUGACGAAUCCAGACCGUCUUCAACAAGCUCCGUACAUUGGACGAGGCCGUACUGGUGCAGCUUUUCAAAGCGUAUGACACGUGAGUCAUGGGGAUACGGCAUUACACCCUUCCACCGCCUUAGCCACCUUUUUUAAUUUUAAACUAAACGCCCCCACCCCGCAAUUCCUCUUGUGUCCCCUUUGCCUCUCCAACGGGGCUUGUGGCCUUUGGUCCCUCACUUGUUUCUUGAUAUUGGCAGUUGCAGUUCUUUACUUUUGAAAUAUAGCUGCAUAUUAUAUCAUAUAUAAUCCUCCAAACUAUUUUUGGAGCUUCAUCUGUAUCCUAUCUGUGACUUAUUAUACCGUAUGCGCCACCAAGUAAUUAAAUCCCCUCCCCAUACGCACACUCACAUAUUUUCCCAUCCUUUUCAACAUACAUACAGACAGACAGACUCACAUACAUACAUACAGGCUUACAUACACACAUACUGACAUUCCCCUCCCCUCCGCAGUAACAACAACGGCACUCUGGAGCUGAAGGAGCUGAUGGCGUUACUGCGUGACGUCACCGGAUUGCCGUACGCGGAGGCGGGACUCGUACAGGUAUAUUUGUAUAUAUAUGUAUAUAUCUAUACAUAUAUAUAUAUAUAUAUAUAUAUAUAUAUUUGCGCAUUUGUGAGCUCGUACAUGUACGUAAAUGCACGUAGGAGACGCAGCUUAGACAUGCGUGUGCAUAUGUGUGUGUAUGCGUGUCCCUCUUUCCCCCUCCAUCUCCCGCUCUCCCCCCGCCCUAACAGGCUCUCCUCGACGUGGACCUCAGCUCCACCCUCACACUGAAGGAGUGGAUGGAGGGCAUCCGGGCCUCAACGGACUCCCUAGAUGCCGCGUCGGCCGGGCUGGCUGGGGGCGGGGGAGGGGGCGGGGGAGGGGGCGGGGGAGGGGGAGGGGGUGGCAGUAGUCGUGUGCAGCGGAACGCGCUGAUGGUCCUGGCGGCGGUCAGCAAGCAGAUCGCGGCGGACCUGGACGUGUUCUGGGCGGCAUACGCGCGAGCCGACAGAGAUGGGUGAGAAAGGGGUUUCGUGUGUGUGUGGGAGUAUCUGUAUGUGGGUCUGUGUGGAGGGGGCUGUUUGUGUAUGUGUGAGAGAGGAGGGGAGGAAGGAGAGGGGAAAAUGAGGGAGGGCGGGAGGGAGGGAGGGCGGGAGGGAGGGAGGGGGGAAUGGGAAUGGGGAGAAGGGCCCCACGACCUCCGUCCUCCUACGCCGCAUUUCUCACCGCCACAAAGCCCCCCAUACACACACGGACAUAUACACAUACAUACACACAUGCACUCGUGCCCUCCCAGCACCCCCAGCACUCCCGCCCGCUCCGCCCGCUUUUCUCUCCCUUCCUCGCACACACCCCAACCGCCAACCGCCAACCGCCAACCCCCUCCUCAGUAACGGCUACCUGGACAUCGCCGAGCUCACCCGUUUCUUCAAGGACCUGUUUCGCGACAUGCCGCCGUACGACCUCCGCCUGCUGGUGGCUCAUUGCUUCACGGCGCAGAUAGACAGAGAUGGACUUGUACGGCCUGAUGAACUGCUGCAGUACCUUCGGUACGAUACAAUGUAUAUGUGUGGUGGUUUUGGGGGUUAGGGGGAGCGUGUGUGUGUGUGUGAAGGGGUCGGGGGUGGAUUGUGCUUUAAGAGCUUAGAGUUUUCUUAUAGUGUGUUUUUGUGUGCGUGUGUGUGUAUGUAUGUGCGUUAUUAUAUUUGCCUAAACCACCUGUGUAAGAUACACGCUAGUUCAGUUUUUGUUUUUGUUUCAGUUUCUGUUCCUGGUCGCUUUCUCGGUCGGCAGCGGUCGGCAAAUCGGUUUCUACGGCUGCGGGAGGGCAUAACGGCUGCGGUCGGUAAAACCUAAAAUAAAUUCUAAGUCAAACACAGAGUUCAAGUUCAGCGCGCGGCCCUACGAGCCGCAAUAGAGGGGCUGCAAAUCACGUCUUUGGGUCAAAUUUUGGCCAUUAGGGACCCGCCGCCUUACGGGGCUUAAGUCGAAUUUCGGCUGCGGGUACUCGCAGUACCCGCCUUAUUUGCCGACCUCGGCUCGGUGCUUCGUUAAAACGUCUUCCCUCCCUUCGGUUGCCGCUUACCCCCGGGGGGCAUAUUCACAGGGCCAUUCCGUUAGAAGCCCCCAACGGUAAGCCGUACAGUGGGGGGGAAAUGGAGGGUGCAUGGGGUAAAUGAGAUGGGUGUUUAAAAGGUUUGUGUCUGUCUGCCUGAAUGUUUGUUUGUCCUCCGCAGACUCAAUCAUACCCCGGCUGUCUGUCUUUGCAAAACCCAAAUGAAAAACUGUUAUUAUUAUUAAAACCCCCGACAGUGUAUUUCAAAAUUUUACUUGAGUAAAUCCUUUUAUGAAACGAAUACGAUAAUAUAAAAACAAUUUUUUUUUAUAAAAACCCUGUUUGGACAACGAAGUAUUUCUUACGGAAAUCAAUAUGAUGCCUUCGCGGUUGUGCUACGGAUGCUCCCACUCCUCCCACUCCCCCCUUCCAACCCCCCUCAACACACACACACACACACAUUGCAUCAUAUUGCCGUAUGUCAUGUCGCCGGAUGUCCUGUUUAGGCGUCACGCACCGCCCCGGCUUCCGAGUGCCCUCCGUGGGCUCAGCCAAGGCCGGGCUGAUGGACUCCAUCCGCUCAAUAAACCCUAACGCCCGCCUCAACUACGCCAAGGGCCUUACGGUAAGCGGUAUUAAUUCUUGCGGUUCUUGCGGUAGAGGGUCUGCAUGUCUGUCUGUAUGUGUGUAAACCUGUAUGUGCGUUUGACUUGUCUUUGACCUACCUAUGAACCUCCUCCUCUUGUGGUUUGGCCUUUGGCCCCACCAUCGCCAUCUGAACCAUAAUCAUCAUCACCAUCGUUAUCCAUGAUUGUAUAUAUGUAUGUAUGUGUGUAUAUAUGGCUGUGCGAUUGCAGAUCGAGGUUCCCGACGGCUCUGCGGUGGGCAGCGGGGGCCCCGAGUCCCUAGCGGCUGGACUACCGCCAGGUACGUGCAGUUGUACGGGUGCAGUACAAUAUCCGUCAAAUCCUGGAGACUAUGGACUAGAAAUAUUGAAAUUCGAUUACAUCAUACAACCACCACCAACUCAUCAAUAUUCAAAAUAGCACUAGGGAUAUGCAACCACCUUUUUGAAAAACUGAUUGUCACUGAAGAUCUGAGUAUUGUGAAGGAUCGACCGAUGCAGGGGUCGAACCUGCGACCUGAGCCUUAGGAAAGCUCCGCUCUAUCCACUGAGCUAAACGGCCUCCCUGAUGAUGAUGUUAAAAUCCAAUCACACUCGAGGACACGAUAGAUGGUGGGAGAGCAAGUUACACCGUACAACCGACGGCGGUUUGGGCCCUUAAGUAGACCCCUCAACAUGCAGUUAGCCCAGCAUUCGUAGAGAUAGAUCAACCACCUCGACCUACUCAGCAUGCGAAACUUAGCUAAAUUAAUUAGCCAUAUUAGCAUAUUUAUUUGGCCUCCAUGGUGACAUUCCUAAUUCCCGUACGACAGCUAACCGUAGUAACCGUACGCCGUACAUUGUACUACAUCCACCGUGAGUCCAUCGGGUGUUUGAACAACUUCUUCGCAGGUCACAACUUCCUGUCAUCGCUUCACCUACAUCACCAGCAAGCCGCACCGGCCUUAGGGGCGGGGCUGAUGUACGGCGGCGGCGGCAGCGGCGGUAUCCCACUGACACCCCACAGCACCGCCUCCUUGGCGGCGCUGACGGCCGCCGCCAGCGGCGGCCUUGCCGUACCGCCAUACGUUCCUGUACCGGUGCCGGUGCCGUACAUGAUGCCGCCCACGCCGCAUGGCGGCGGCGUCAAUGCCGCUGGGGGCUCAAUGAUGGGAUACUUGCUGCCGUACCAGCAGGAUAUGUACCAGGCCCUCAUGGAUAGACUGGUAAGUUUAGCCAGCCCCGUGGGAGAGGGGGAGGAGGGGAGAAGGGGAGGGAAGGGGGAGGUAAAGGGGGGAAGGGGGAGGAGAAGAGGGGAAGGGGGAGAGGGAGAGGGGGUGGAGGACGUGGGGAAGGGGGAAGGGGGAGGAGGGGUUUAGCAGCGCCGUUCGUGGGGAGCGGGAGAUCUAAGGCGCCACCACCACCACCACCACCACCACCACAUGGCGGGUCACAGGGAUUUCUCUCUCCUCCCCCCCCCCCCGGCCGCCGUCGAUCCAUUCCGCCACAGACGACACCGCGAACCUCGUUCGCGGGGUCCAGGAGCGGGCGCCGUACAUCCAUAUCUUCCGUACAUACACCACGCAUGUCCGAGGCGGGUACGGCAUACAGCGGCGCCGGAAGUGAUGGCACUCCGUUGUCUUCAGAUCACGAGGAUGAGGCAGCGGCAGCGGCGGCGGCUCCGUCGCCGCCACCGCCGCCGCCACAGUCGUUGAGGUCUUCGUACCCAUCACCGCCGCCGCUAGACACCGCGGCGAUACCGCCGCCGCCGCCGCCGUACGUCGAGCCGCCGCCGCCGCCGUAUCCCAAUGAAGCACAGCCGCUGCCGUACGGCACGAACUAUUCACGGAGGACGAGCUACCCUGGCAGCUAUUAUGGCAGCGCGCAUGCGCCCUACCAUCCACAACAUCCCCCGCACAUGUACGACAAUCCUUCAGGACCGUACGGCGCGCAGCAGUACGGGUCAGUUUCACCGGCAACAGGCAACGGCAACGGCUUCGGUGCCGUUUCGGAGCUGGAGCGCAUUGUGACGAACGACCCAGCGGUAGGUGUCCUGUUCUGGCAAUAUGUAUUUUUCCCUUUCAUUUUAAAUGUUGCCUUUUUAGCCUCCUUGUCCUUGAAGCCCUAUGCUAAUAAAUACACGCGCACGCGCUCCUCCACAUUAAUCCAUAUCUCCCCUAAUUAUUGGGGUUUUACGGCUCUCCCCCGUCUUCCCCCCCUUCGCCCUCAAAUCCAUAUGAAAGGCUUUCCACAACAACUUCUCCGCAAGCUCCAGACGGGUUCCUAUUAGCUCAGUUGCCGCCGUACGACGGCCGUACACUGUACGGCAGCCGAGUGGUUACACGUACGUGGUUCCCCGUGCAGCGUUAGGGCAGGUGGGUACGGCAAGGGAUUUUAGGGGGAAGGGGGGAAGAUGAAGUUAGCCUUUGAGAGAGUGUAUGUAUGUUGUUACAGGGUGGUUAACUUCGCCAGCGGCCCCCUUUCCCGGGGCAGUCCCUGCUCUCCCCUGCUAGAGGGGCACCCUAAUCCGUCACCCCAUCCGACUUCAGAAUGUAUUCGUUGGGUUCGGCAACUCACCACCAGCAUCCAACCAAAUCUAGCGGAUCAACGGCGCCUCAACUUAGUUCCUGGUCAGCUCGCAAGUUGAUAUUAUCACGUCCUACACCGUCCAUAAGAUGGGGGGCCACCUCCCAUUUCAUCACUCCUCAAACACCAGAGGAGCCGGCAGGUGGAUUUGAACCCGGGUCGACUGGGUCGACUGGGAGCAGAAGUCAGGCCUUAACCUCUGCCAGCCGCCUGCCUCAAGUGUAUGUAUGUGUGUAUGGAGGGGGGCCGGAGAGAGAGGGGGAUAUGAUGGCGGUGGCUCCCGUUCCCGGGGAGGAGGAUGAAAGCUGCGAGGUCUGUACGUCUGUACGUCUGUCGCGAGCGGGCUUUGAAUACUUGCAGCGUUUGCCCCGCGACUUCCUCUGUCUUUCCGUAACUCCCUUGAUCAUUAAUAACUACCAACCAAAAAAUGUAGUUUUUAAGCCCCAAGUAACCAACCG
rnacentral:lncRNA from 1 species